CUAGUAGCUAAAUAUAAGCGUCAGGCUUUUAACUUGAAGAUACAACAUUUGUUUAGAGUA
rnacentral:tRNA from 1 species